rnacentral:lncRNA from 1 species
UGGAUUUUCAAGAAGUGCGAACCCACACAUAGUACUACCAUAAUCUUGUUAAAGGAAUGUUAUUUCUUACUGAUAACGAGGGAAAGUUCGCUCUGUUGAAGAGGGUAAGACUUUUAUCUUAGUCUCGUGUCAAUAUGGAGUUAGGAGAAACAAAGCUAAAUCAACAGGAGACAUUCCUUAAUUUCUGAUUGAAUACGCCUGCCGAUGAUAUGAGAUCGCUUGUCCACAAUACGGAUAACAAAAAACAAGAAUAAAAGGUUGAGAAAGAUGAGAAGAGUCAGUCAGCCAGUCAGAGGGACAGACAGGGAGAGAAGAGAAGAGAAAACCUUAAACAGUCCAAGCCUUUUCCCCAAGUACCCGACCAUUGAAAAAGAGAACCUGAAGUUUUGUACAUUCAUUGACACAAAAAAGGGAAGAAACAAGCCUGCACAUCAGGAGGAAGAAAGGUACUGCAAAGUCAUAAGUGUUGUGAGUGAAACGGACUAAAGACUGUGCCACUGUAAUUUAAAAUAUGAACUAAAGACUGUGACUGGUGACUCCUGUCGA